GUCUAUGGCCAUGCUACCCUGAACAAGUCUGAUCCCAUCUGAUCUCGGAAGCUAAGCAGGGUCGAGCUUCGUUAGUACUUGAAUGGGAGAUCACCUAGGAAGACCAGGUGCUGUAGGUG
rnacentral:rRNA from 1 species